rnacentral:lncRNA from 1 species
GACACCUACGGGCCAAGGGCUUACCGACUGAAAACUCUGGAAGGGAAAUCGAUUUCCCGGACCUGGAAUGCUGACAACCUGAAGUUGUAUCACUAAUGAACUUUGUACUUGUUCAUUUGGAAUACAAAUUCAGUUUCAAAUUUCGGAGUCUUAGCUCUUCGACUGAUGAUCGGCGCUCACCAAGAAGGUCGAGUCCCGACGUCCCAACUCGGACUUAGUGUCCGCGUGGAACCGACGGCUCGACCGCCGACCGCCGACGAUGUAUCGGGCGCUCACAAUGGUCGAACCGUCCACGACAACGGGAGUUAACACUCCUUCUACGAUC